AGUUUAUUAUUUAAGGUCUGGCCUGCCCAAUGAUUAAAUUUAAUGGCCGCAGUAUUUUGACUGUGCAAAGGUAGCAUAAUCAUUAGUUUCUUAAUUAGGAACUGGAAUGAAUGGUCGGAUGAGGAAAAAGCUGUCUCAGGUUAAUUUUCAAAGAAUUUUAUUUUUAAGUUAAAAAGCUUAAAUUUUGUUUAAAGACGAGAAGACCCUAUAGAGUUUUAUAAUAAUAAAUUUUUAAUUGUUAAGAAUUUUUUAAUUUUAAAUUAAUUUAUUAUUUUGUUGGGGUGAUGGAAAAAUUAAUUUAACUUUUUUUUUAUUAUACACUAAUUUGUGGGGAGUUGAUCCAUAUAUUUAUGAUUAAUAGAUUAAAUUACCUUAGGGAUAACAGCGUAAUUUUUAUGGAGAGUUCUUAUCGAUAUAAAAGUUUGCGACCUCGAUGUUGGAUUAAAA
rnacentral:rRNA from 1 species